ACUGGAGGAAGGUGGGGAUGACGUCAAGUCCUCAUGGCCCUUACGGGCUGGGCUACACACGUGCUACAAUGGUGGUGACAGUGGGCAGCGAGACAGCGAUGUCGAGCUAAUCUCCAAAAGCCAUCUCAGUUCGGAUUGCACUCUGCAACUCGAGUGCAUGAAGUUGGAAUCGCUAGUAAUCGCAGAUCAGCAUGCUGCGGUGAAUACGUUCCCGGGCCUUGUACACACCGCCCGUCACACCAUGGGAGUUGGUUUUACCCGAAGGUAGUGCGCUAACCGCAAGGAGGCAGCUAACCACGGUAGGGUCAGCGACUGGGGUGAAGUCGUAAACAACGUGGCC
rnacentral:rRNA from 1 species